rnacentral:lncRNA from 10 species
GCUGCCCCCAACUUGCUGUGUGCUCUUGGACAAGUUAUCUCCCUUCUCUGGGCUUCAGAUAACCCAAGGAUCCUUACAUAUCUUUAUAGCUACAAAGCCCUGUGAGGUUUUGAAAAACUUCCUUGGUACCCAAAACCAGGUCUGAGGCACAGUCAGUGAAUACCUGUUUAAUGAAUGCAUGCAUAAAUGAAUGAAUGGAUGAUCCAGCUCUUCCUGGAGCAGGCACGACUUCCACAGAAACAGAGCAAACGCUAGCCGUAAGCAGAAGUGAGUCUUCUUCCUAUGUGAAGGGAUGUGGGGGUGGUACGCCCCUAUCAACUUUAUCUUUACAUAGUCCUUGAGCGCCCACCGGGCACCGUGUUCCCCGGACUAGAGGGAGGGAGAGGGGGGUUAGCUCCACCCUUAACAAGCUUAAUUCUUGAUGAGAUUAACCAUCAAAACCCAUCAGAGAACGUUAUAGCUCCAGCGCUGAAUGAGACAUCUUUGAUUCUGUGGUGAUGCGGACUUUGUGCCUCUCUGUGAGGAAUCACUUUGUUCCAAUGACGCAAUUUUCCUCACACUCCGGAAGUGUCCUGCACUGCCAGAAUCGCCCAGCUUCCCGGCACACCUAUCAACCAGUCGUUCCCAGCACUGCCCAGUAUGCAGCCUCCAGGCAGAGGGCCUGGAUGUCUUGGCAGGUAGGGUUCCCCUAGCAGCCUGGGGGUGGUCAGAUAGAAACAUUAACUGGAACGUAGAGGCCAGUUCUUGGCUCAGGGAGCCAGGAGGGCUCUGACUGUUGCACAUACAAGCCACUCACACUGCUAUCGCCCACAUACCUUCCUCUCCCGCCAGCCCACCCCAAAGCCCAAACUCCUGCCCGCAUGCUGGGAAGGUGAGCCCUUGCCUGGAGAGCCCAGCAGGGGAAAUAGAAGGAGGGAAGGAGGCCUGCUCCUUCCCCGGAGCUCUGCUCUGCGGCUGCAGGAAGACCCGCAGAGGCCCUGGGCAGCAGAACUGUGGACAGCAAGGCUGGAGUUGUGAAACCCAACCACUCAGCUGGAUUCCAGAAGCUCAGGUGUUUCCGAAAAAUCCAAUCCACCCUCCAAGGUGGAAAGUGUGCCAUCUCUGCCCAUAAUCCAAAUGGCGUGCCUGAGGCAUAGAAAGCAGCUUUCAGGGAGGCCUUCCUUCCUCUGAGCAAUGGUGGCAUCAUCAGAAAAGUGGAGCUCCUCCAAAAGGAUCUGCUGGAAGCAGAGGACGCCCAUGUGGAGCAGCAUGCGGAGGGCCCUUGCACAACCUGGGUCUUCAGGAAGUUCCUUGCCCAGGUGUUGGCCCAGCUCUCUUCAUGGUUCCAAGAAGGCUGCCCCAGGAAGGCUUGUGGACAGAGGGAGAAGCAUCUCUUCCUCUAUGUCUCUUUUUAUCUAAGAAACCAGUUUGACCAGCAUCCUUCCCCUCGGCUCCCCAGGAGGAAUGCACGGAUCCCUUCGCCUUCCCCCAUCCCUCCAUGGUUGACUAAACCCACUAGGAUCCACUCUUUUGCGUGGAAAUGGGUUCAGGCCUCCCACGAAGAGCAUGAAGAUGCCCUCUGUUAUGGGUUACAUUAUGUCCCCUGCCCCCGAGACCGUAUGUUGAGUCCUAACCCUAGUAUUGCAGAACGUGAAUUUAUUAGGAGAUAGGGUCUUUAUGGAGGUCAUUAAGUUAAAUGAGGGUGUUAGGGUGGGCUGGUGUCCUGAUAUAAAGGGGAAAUUUGGGGCUGGGUGUAGUGGCUCACACAUAUAAUCCCAGUGCCUCGAGAGGCCAAGGCAGGAGGAUUGCUUGAGGGCAGGAGUUCAAGACCAGCUUGGGUAACAUAGGGAGACCGGUAUCUAUAAAAAAAAUUAAAAACAAAAAAAUUAGCCGAGUGUGGUGGUGCAUGCCUGUAGUCCCAGCUACUCAGGAGGCUGAGGUGGGAGGAUCGCUUGAGUCCAGGAAUUUGAGGCUGCAGUGAGCCAUAAAAAGAUGGGGGACGAUGGAGACGCACAGGGAAAACACCUUGUGAAUGCGGCAGAGAUAAGGGUGAUGCCUCUACACACCGAGGAACUUCAGAGACAACCAGUAAGUCACUGGGAGCUCGGGGAAGGCACAGCGCAGAUGCUCGCUGCCCUCAGAGGGAAGCCAGCCCGCCAACCCCUUGAUCUCAGACCUCUGGCCCCUGGAACUGUGAGAUGAUAGAUUUCUGUCGUUUAAGCACAGUGGUGCUGUGUUAUAGCAGCCCUAGGGAACCAUCCACUAUCAGAACAAAAGCAGGGCUGGACUGCUAGAAGAAAGGAGAGGAGAAUGGCAGAGGAUACCCACCUUGGGGCUGAAUCUGAGAUCACUCCAGGGCUCCCCAGGUUGUUUUGAAGAAUGGAGAUGGAUUUGUGCAGGGCUCACUGUAGAAGCUCAGUGCAGCAUGCGACGCUUAUAAGGCUGCAAUCCCCAGAGCUCAGUCCCUGAAGAGCGCUGCAUUCACAGACAUCAGCCAGCAGACAAACCAGUACCUAUUGUCCCUGACCCCCAGAAUCCAGCAGACAUAUAAAAGAUGGUUGUUAACCCCACUAAGUUUUGGGGUAAUUUGUUAUGCAGCCAUGCAACUGAAAGAAGCAGCUACAAUAUUUUUAUAAUGAAAUUCUUAGCCAGGACCCUCAUAGCCUAGCAAGAAGUUCUGUCUGGAAGAGCCCAGCUUUGGGGUUGGGUAUGUCUGGGUUUUAAUAUGUCAAGAGGGCAGGCCCUGGAGACGGAGCACAUGGAUUUGAAUCCCAGCCUCUCAUAGGCAGGUUAAUUAAUUUCCCUGAAUCUCAGUUUCUUCAUCUCUCAAUGGAGAAAAUAAUAGAAGCCACCUCACGGGAAUUAAAUGAGAUUAUUUACGCACAGCACCAAGGCUGUGGCUACUGUAUUUGACCCCUGAAACAGUUAAUUUUUCUUGACAUCCCUUCCUUGGUAUAUGUAUUAGUCAGGGUUCUCUAGAGGGACAGAACUAAUAGGAUAUCUCUCUCUCUAUAGAUUUAUAUAAAGGGGAGUUUAUUAAGUAUUAACUUACACAAUCACAAGGUCCUGCAAUAGGUCGUCUGCAGGCUGAGGAGCAAGGAGAGCCAGUUCAAGUCCCAAAACUGAAGAACUUGGAGUCUGAUGUUCGAGUCCAGGAAGCAUCCAGCACAGGAGAAAGAUGGAAGCUGGGAGGCCAGGCCUGACUCUCCUUUUCAUGUUUUUCUGCCUGCUUUAUAUCCGCUGGCAGCUGAUUAGGUGGUGCCCACCAGAUUAAGGGUGGAUCUGCCUUCCCCAGCCCACUGACUCAAAUGUUAAUCUCUUUUGGCAACACCCUCACAGACACACCCAGGAUCAAUACUGUCAGUUCAAUCAAGUUGACACUCAGUAUGAACCAUCGCAAUACAAUAGGAUUACUUUCUGUGAUAACCUGUGUAAAAAUAGGCAGUCAUGAUUUUCCUGUUGUGUUCUUCAGGUGUAAAACAAAAAAUUUUAAAAGAAGAAACUUCAAUUUUAA